AGGCUCCUCCAUGUGGAAGCAGCUUUUAAAGCUAAGACCCUUGGCCAAAACCUUUCUCUCUUCCAAAGUGGGUGACGGUAAAUCAUGCUCCUUUUGGACUUGGUCGUCCUUUGAAAUCGAAAGUAGCUCAAGAAAGAUCAGGGGAUGGUUGGAUAUUUGGAGGUGCUUGAAGCCAAAACAUUGAGCUCCUCUUAUGUCACCUACCAUCAGUUCAAAUCUCAGAAACCAACAAAGAUAUAUUUCUGUGGGUCAUGAAUUCAAGGCCACCAUCAAGACCGGUUUACCUUCUCUGAUACUUGGAAUAAGAUCAGGACUACAAAACCAGAUGUCUCUUGGCACAAGCAAGUCAGUCUGGUUUUCAGGGGCAGUCCCUAAACACUCUUUUAUCAUGUGGCUUGGUUGCUUGAA